rnacentral:rRNA from 1 species
UAGGGAAUCUUCGGCAAUGGGGGGAACCCUGACCGAGCAACGCCGCGUGAGUGAAGAAGGUUUUCGGAUCGUAAAGCUCUGUUGUUAAGGAAGAACGAGUGUGAGAAUGGAAAGUUCAUACUGUGACGGUACUUAACCAGAAAGGGACGGCUAACUACGUGCCAGCAGCCGCGGUAAUACGUAGGUCCCGAGCGUUGUCCGGAUUUAUUGGGCGUAAAGCGAGCGCAGGCGGUUAGAUAAGUCUGAAGUUAAAGGCAGUGGCUCAACCAUUGUAGGCUUUGGAAACUGUUUAACUUGAGUGCAGAAGGGGAGAGUGGAAUUCCAUGUGUAGCGGUGAAAUGCGUAGAUAUAUGGAGGAACACCGGUGGCGAAAGCGGCUGUCUGGUCUGUAACUGACGCUGAGGCUCGAAAGCGUGGGGAGCGAACAGG